CCUACGGGAGGCAGCAGUGAGGAAUAUUGGUCAAUGGGCGUAAGCCUGAACCAGCCAAGUCGCGUGAGGGAUGAAGGUUCUAUGGAUCGUAAACCUCUUUUAUAAGGGAAUAAAGUGUGGGACGUGUCCUAUUUUGUAUGUACCUUAUGAAUAAGGAUCGGCUAACUCCGUGCCAGCAGCCGCGGUAAUACGGAGGAUCCGAGCGUUAUCCGGAUUUAUUGGGUUUAAAGGGUGCGUAGGCGGCUUUUUAAGUCAGCGGUGAAAGUUUGUGGCUCAAACAUGGAAUGGCCGUUGAAACUGGGGGGCUUGAGUAUGUUUGAGGCAGGCGGAAUGCGUGGUGUAGCGGUGAAAUGCUUAGAUAUCACGCAGAACCCCGAUUGCGAAGGCAGCCUGCCAAGCCAUGACUGACGCUGAUGCACGAAAGCGUGGGGAUCAAACAGGAUUAGAUACCCUUGUAGUC
rnacentral:rRNA from 1 species